AGUGCAAAGGAAAAUCUUAACAUGGAUCGUUUCGCUGGAGUUGAGAACAUGCUUUUUCCCCCCUGUCACCUUAUUAAAAUCAAAAAUUAAAAAAAAAAACAAAACUCUCUAAAUCCUGGAAGUAUGAUCGGCCUGCUCUGUUCUCCAGCCUUGUUUUGUGGAUUUCUAUCUCUCCAAAUAAUUCCUCAGCAUCCCCUUGAAUGGCAUCUACCGCACUAGAGAGCUUUUCCAACCCACAAGCCUGAAACAACUUCCCACAACUGAAAUGACUCCAGCACAGCUAUUCCCUAGAAGACAUCCCUCCUGAUUUCUUGUGGGGCCUGUAAGAUAUCUGAAGUUGUAGGUAAGUGCAAUCAUGGAAAAAAGUGCCUCUAUUUUUGUGGUACCAUGUUAGCACUAACAUCUUUUUAAUGGUUCAGAGAUGAACCAGAUAUCUCUCAUACAUCACCACAAUAAGGUAACAUUUCUUAGGACACAUGAGAUCUCCUGGUUUCUGCCCCCAUCUGAGGAUAUCUGAAGUAGAAAAGAAUGCCAGAGGCACCACAGACUACAUCUGCCCAUGGGAAACAUUGCCAUGCUUCUGAUGUUCAGAUGUAUAGUUGAGCCAUGGGCAGUUGAGGAUGGGCCAGGUGUCUCUGUAGGUGGGUCUGGGUUUAGACAAGGACAGGGAACACUCUGAAGGGAUGCUGGUCUGGGUAAUGGACUAGGACUCCAGGGUGUGCUGUCACACAGAUCCAAAGACAAGGCUAGUUGCCACCACUGAGCCUUUGUUUUCCUCACCUUCCUCCAGAACUCUUCUGCCCAAGAUGUUAUUGAUCUUGGUCUACUUUUUCCUGAUCUGCAGACAGGGCUUAAGGCACAUCAUGCUAGAAUGAAUGUGAUUGCUGCCUCCAGGGUUUCCACACAGGGCUGGGGGAAAAACAAUUUGUUCAGCUCUAGAAAGAGAUGUGAACAGGCACCAGUUUGAAAAGGCUCCUAGUCUUUCCUGAUCCUCUGAAGGCCCAGGGUAAGAAUCCAUGCCUACCCUGAUAAUCCAUCGUAGGUUAGACAGUCCCUCAGUUCCCAUACAUAGAUGUUCAAUGGUGCUCCGCACUUACUCUGAGAGUAGUAGCACUCUUGCUUGGCUGCUCCUUAGUGGUCACUGGCUCUGGUCAAUCCUAAAAUGCCUUUACUUUGACAGAGGCCAAUACCAGGCAAUAUGAAAGGAGACUUUCCCUCCGCACUGUGUCUUUAAAAGUGUAAGAGUUUACUGUGGAUGAAAAUGCCCUCCUGACCCUGUCUAUUGACUGGCAUAUGUCAAGAACCGCUGGGAUGAUUAAGCAUUAUUACAUAAUAGCAGCUAGUAAAACUCUCACAGAUUUUUUUAAGGCUAGAAGCAACCAUUAUUAUCAUCUAAUCUGAUCUUUUGCAUAAUACAUGCUACGGAAUUGAACCCAAUCUGAACUUCGUGUGAAGAUUUUCUUUUAUGCCUGAAAAUGCCUCCUUAUUUACAACUAUGAUGCUGUUUUUCUCAGUACUGUCUGUGCAGCAGCAAGUUCCAUUAAUUAACUGCAUGUUGUUUGGAAAAACAAUACCUCUUAUCCAUUUGAAAUUUGAUAGCUCUUCGUUUCACCUUGCAGGGUAGGAAAGGUUUGGUUUUUUUUUUCCUUUGCUGCUAAUUAGGUUGGAAGAUCACGAGGGUGAAAUGUUAUUUAUAUUAUAGUCAUGCUUAAGUAGAGCUCUGACGAAGCCUGGGGAUCCCAUUGCACAAAGUGAGGGAGACUGUGCAAGCCCUUCAGGGCUGAAACUAUUUGAAUAGACAAAUGGCACAUUUUCGUGGGAGCUGAGUGAUUUAACUGGAAAGACUGUCAGGCAAGUCAGUGGAUUUGCACCUCUGAAUCACCUAUGCUUUUCUGAAAAACUCAUCCAAAGUUUGAAAAAAAAGAAAAGGUAUGGAAAAAUGAAGUUUCUAAAACUGAGACCAAAAAAUGAGAUUAAGGUGUAAGUCAGUAAACAAAUAAUAUGUAGCUCUGUGUCCUGCCCACUGUCCAUAGGUCACAUUGGCCUUCGGUGGCUGCAAGUCAUCUAAGGAGAACAGGGUACACUGAGCAAAAUAUCGACAAUGUCUGCUUCAUGCGAGGGACCAAAGCCUUCCAGAAGAACUGUUAGGGUCCAAGGACAUCUUCUAGAUUAUCUCAGGCAACAGCACUUGCUCCGAGUUUAUGGAGAGGGUUCAUGCAGAAUUUGCAGUCCUGGGAGGGUGAAUCUUCCCUGAAAGAGAAGCUGGUGCUUGUGUUCUUUAUCUCUUCUCAAAAAAUUUCCCAUCCUUUUGGCUUUUAUAAUUUUUAUUGCCAUUCUCUGGACUUGUUCUAUUUCUACUUUCUUUUUUUCAGGGAUGAGGUGACCAAAUUUGAAGACAGUAUUCAAAGUGAGGAUGUGCCACUGAUUUAUAUAAUAGCAUUAUAAUAUUUUCCAUAUUAUUCUCUAAAACUCUUUUCUUCGUACAAACCCCAUAAGAUUCUUUUUAAUUCUUUGAACUACAAUGCCUUUUAACAUCUGUAGUUUACUCUGAUCAGAUUUUGACAAAGGAAUAAAAGGCUCCAUUUUUCACAUAGAAUUUUAUUUAUUGUUUGAACUUUAGAGGAGAAAUUGGUUAACUUACAAUUUAAAAUUCUUGGCAAUGUAGACCAUUGGGCAAGGAUUUCAUUAUCAGCCAUUCUACGCUUUCUGUAGAAAUGUGUGAGGCUGAAAGUUGGUGCACAAGGUCUUAGCUUAAUAGACUUGUCUUUGGUUUUAUAAACAAAGCAAAAGACUUAACUGGAGUUGCCAGUAUUCCCAAAGAUGUCAGAAAUGUCAUUCACCUGUACCCCCUUCCUGAUGAAAUGUGCUGGGACUGUGCAUUGACAUGCUGUUCAACCAGGCCCACGCACAUGUACAAAAUUACCCGAGUUCUGUGGUCUCCUGUUUAUUGCACCACACACCUUCACACCAGGUCAGGGGAAGACCCCUUUGAAAAUGAAGUGCUUGAUGACUGCAGAGCAUGAGGAUCUCACUGUUGUGUCACAGCUGGGUGUUACACCCUCAUCAGGGUAUUAGAAAAGGCUCAGGGAAAACAGUUACAUCUGUUCUUAUUGCUUAAGACACUUCCUGCAGCUACUGCCUUUCCUUAGAGUUACCAAUCCAAGCACUGACCCUGCCUGACCCUACUUAUCUUGUAAAAGCUGACAAGAUCACAGCCUGAAGCAGUAUAGCCACAGGCUCAAUACUGGCUACCAAAAUGCCUGUUUAGUAUUUUCAAGAAACGCUAUUAUUCUAAAGAUGUGCAAUACCAGCUGUUAGAUAUAUGGACAACACCAACACACAGCCCUGACCCCUGAACAUUCAGCCCCACUUACACAGAAAUCUGUGCCUCUCAAGGGGCCAACAGUGAGCUACCACAACAUAGUGAUUGCCUACCUGUAAGUGAGCUGGAAUUUAAGCACCAUGUGAGGAUAUACACUCAGAUAUUGGGUAAAACUAUUUGAAAACUACAGUCUUGAGUUCAGAAUUCAUUGUUUGCUUCUUUCAUCAAUUGCAUUACUGCUUUAGCAAUAGAAAAAGCUCUGCCAUUUCUGUGUAAUAUAUAUAUCUAGCUUAGUGUAGAGAAUCUUCUUCAUUCUUCUGUGACCAAAGCAGUUUUUCAUCAGAAAGUAUUUUUAGAUGAACUGUAAGUUUCUUCCCUAGCAAACAUUUUGGCUCCACUGUUUGAAAGCAAAUACACGUUACCCCAGAUACCUCUAAGGCUAAACAAAAGUUUAAAUAUCCAAGAAAUACUAAGGGACAAAUCUGGUUUAAUUGUAUAUACAUUGUAUAUUCAUACACAAUAUACAAAAACAGUUCUUGCAGAAUGGUUUGGUGUGUUUGCGUUUUUUGGUUUUGUUUUGUUUCAUUUUAGCACAGCAAAGACAUGGAAAAGACACUGAGGUCCUAUUGCUCCUGUCGGAAAAUUCUGCUCGCUACAGCAUGAGUUGGAUUGGGCCCAGAGAAAGCAAAUACACACAAGUAAAGAGUUCACCAUACAAGCAAGGAAAAUCACAGAUAACAGGUGCAGACAAAUUAGCAACGUACCUUUUAGGUCAUCCAGUACAGCUCCGUGACACUGUGAGAUUGUUUUCUAUGGCAUAUUUUCAGGUGUUUUGUGUGCCUAGAUUAAAUGUCCUAAGUGAUGUCAUGUCCCUAGGGAGAGAUUGUGCUGCCUAGAGUAUCUUGUUGUCAGAAGUUUUUUUUUCCCUUUCUUAACAUCACCAUAUUUCUCCUAGUUACAUCCUUUUGCAAACUCCUUAUUUUCCUUCACUAAUGCAAUUUUCUUCCAGUAUCUUUUAACUACUGUGUUUAGUUAGCAUAAAGCCAACCCACAGCUAUUUAGAUCAUUUAAUCUUC
rnacentral:lncRNA from 1 species